GAUAUAGAUAUGAGGAUAAAAAAAGGAUUGGAUUGUUCGCAAGAAGAAGGAGAUUAUGUGACUCCGAAGUUACAACAAUCCAACGCCGUUUCCGGUGAAAAUAGUGUCGGAAAAACUAUUGUUGAGCUGUGAAUAGUGCCCGAAAAUCACUGUUCAUCCGAAUUGCUCCAAUUAUGGUUUGAAUUUUUGGAUAGUCGUUUGGGUUGUGCUUUCAUGGGAGAAAUCGGAUUCGCUAGAGGAAUCUACUAUCGAGAAAAAAUGUCACUGGAGAGCCUUCCAGGCGGUAUGGUUAUUUGCUAGAAUUUUGAAUAUUGAUGCCUCUUGCUAAUGUUUCUUUUUUUUUUUGGCAUCAAAAAAGCUUAUAUUAAAUUAAACAGUAACAUUA
rnacentral:lncRNA from 1 species